CGGGUGAGUAAUGUAUGGGGAUCUGCCCGAUAGAGGGGGAUAACUACUGGAAACGGUGGCUAAUACCGCAUAAUGUCUACGGACCAAAGCAGGGGCUCUUCGGACCUUGCACUAUCGGAUGAACCCAUAUGGGAUUAGCUAGUAGGUGGGGUAACGGCUCACCUAGGCGACGAUCCCUAGCUGGUCUGAGAGGAUGACCAGCCACACUGGAACUGAGACACGGUCCAG
rnacentral:rRNA from 1 species